UACGAAGGGGGCUAGCGUUGCUCGGAAUCACUGGGCGUAAAGGGUGCGUAGGCGGAUAUUUAAGUCAGGGGUGAAAUCCCGGGGCUCAACCCCGGAACUGCCUUUGAUACUGGGUAUCUUGAGUUCGGAAGAGGUGAGUGGAAUUGCGAGUGUAGAGGUGAAAUUCGUAGAUAUUCGCAGGAACACCAGUGGCGAAGGCGGCUCACUGGUCCGAUACUGACGCUGAGGUGCGAAAGCGUGGGGAGCAAACAGGAGUUAGAAACCCCGGUAAGUACCCAG
rnacentral:rRNA from 1 species